ACAAGCGGAGGAGCGAUGUGGUUUAAUUCGAUGAUACGCGAGGAACCGUUACCUGGGCUCGAACGUAAGAUGACUGUAGGUGAAAGCUUACAUCUCUUCGGAGCAUUUUACGAGGUGCUGCAUGGUUGUCGUCAGCUCGUGCCGUGAGGUGUCGGGUUAAGUCCCAUAACGAGCGCAACCCCUACCUUAGUUGCCAUCAGGUUAAGCUGGGGACUCUAAAGGAACUGCCUACGCAAGUAGUGAGGAAGGCGGGGAUGACGUCAAAUCAGCACGGCCCUUACGUCCAGGGCUACACACGUGCUACAAUGGCCGAUACAGAGGGCAGCUACCUGGUGACAGGAUGCAAAUCUCCAAAGUCGGUCUCAGUUCGGAUCGGAGUCUGCAACCCGACUCCGUGAAGUUGGAUUCGCUAGUAAUCGCGCAUCAGCCAUGGCGCGGUGAAUACGUUCCCGGGCCUU
rnacentral:rRNA from 1 species